GCCCGAUUUUGAGUCAACGCCGAUAUCUUGAGUUUCCGGCCACCUUUCUUUGUGAUUCUUGGCUUGAUGAACUCGCCUUGAGAUUCUGAACCAGUCUCCAGAAGGAAUCGAAGCGAGUGGUGGACGUUUUCACGCUGAUCGGAGCUCUCGCCGGAUUCUGGAAAAAUUCCGGCCACCGUGACUGAGUUUGGUGAUCGAUGGAUUUAUUUGGCGGACGAUUCGUGAGAUUGUUAAUUGAGCUGUUAAGAAGACGCAGCUGGAUCAGAGCGGAUAAUCCUACAGGACUGGAGAAUUCAGGAAGGUGAUCGAACCGUGUAGAGUAGCUGCUUUGUAAUACUCUGAUUUUCAGUUGUGAGGUUUGUUAUGCUCAUUAGAGCUUUACAAUUUACUUUGUACGAGUGAGUUGUAAUAAUUAACUCGAGGUCUUCGAGUUUUGAAUUUGAGCGUGAGUGGCGAGGUUGUUUCUGAGAAAAAAAAAUUCAGAACGUUUAUUUGUUUAAGUUGUUUAAUUCA